GUUCUCGCUUCGGUAGCACAUAUACUCAAAUUGGAACACUGCAGAGAAGAUUAGCAUGGCCCCUGUGCAAGGACAAAAAAAAAGAAGAUAUUUUAUGUUAUUAU